CGAAGGCUUCGGCCUUAAGGGCGCACGGGUGCGUANCGCGUGGGAAUCUGCCCUCAGGUUCGGAAUAACAGCGAGAAAUUGCUGCUAAUACCGGAUGAUAUCGCGAGAUCAAAGAUUUAUCGCCUGAGGAUGAGCCCGCGUAGGAUUAGCUAGUUGGUGUGGUAAAGGCGCACCAAGGCGACGAUCCUUAGCUGGUCUGAGAGGAUGAUCAGCCACACUGGGACUGAGACACGGCCCAGACUCCUACGGGAGGCAGCAGUGGGGAAUAUUGGACAAUGGGCGAAAGCCUGAUCCAGCAAUGCCGCGUGAGUGAUGAAGGCCUUAGGGUUGUAAAGCUCUUUUACCCGGGAUGAUAAUGACAGUACCGGGAGAAUAAGCUCCGGCUAACUCCGUGCCAGCAGCCGCGGUAAUACGGAGGGAGCUAGCGUUAUUCGGAAUUACUGGGCGUAAAGCGCACGUAGGCGGCUUUGUAAGUUAGAGGUGAAAGCCUGGAGCUCAACUCCAGAAUUGCCUUUAAGACUGCAUCGC
rnacentral:rRNA from 1 species